UGCCAGACUCCUACGGGAGGCAGCAGUGGGGAAUAUUGGGCAAUGGAGGCAACUCUGACCCAGCAACGCCGCGUGAAUGAUGAAGGUCUUCGGAUUGUAAAGUUCUUUUCUAAGGGAAGAAGAAAGUGACGGUACCUUAGGAAUAAGCCUCGGCUAACUACGUGCCAGCAGCCGCGGUAAUACGUAGGAGGCAAGCGUUAUCCGGAAUGACUGGGCGUAAAGGGCGCGUAGGUGGUUUAGCAAGUUAGUAGCGUAACUCCGGAGCUCAACUUCGGAACUACUACUAAAACUGUUGAACUUGAGUGCAGGAGGGGCAACUGGAAUUCCUAGUGUAGCGGUGGAAUGCGUAGAUAUUAGGAGGAACACCAGUGGCGAAGGCGAGUUGCUGGACUGUAACUGACACUGAGGCACGAAAGCGUGGGGAGCGAACAGGAUUAGAUACCCGCGUAUC
rnacentral:rRNA from 1 species